UGAGGAUUCAGCUUAGCACUAUAUCUGCGUGAAUAUGUAGUUGGCUUUCCUGUUACUGUAUCAUUGAUCACCUAUCCCUUUUGCUUUUUAGGUUGUCGAGCAAAAUAUCAUCACCGCAAGCCUGCCACGGAAGCAGAAGACACUGCCCGCUACAGAACGGUCGUAGACAAGGCCACACAGGUACCCGCAGCAGGUUCGGUUGCUCCUGGUAUGUAUCACUGUCAGGAAUGAGUCAAGUCACACAUCUGGGGCUUUGACAACUGAGGGUUGUUGAUCUUUCAACAAAACUGGAAGUUUCAUCUUUAGAAUGUCAACUAGUUGAAAGAAAUCAAGUUCUUCAACAACAGCUGUUAUCUAUGAAAGCAACCAAAAAGAAAUGUGAAGAACAAAAGAAGUCUGAAAAAACGUUGAACUCUCUGGAAGAGUCAUACCAGAAGAUGAUCACCAAAAAACCUCAACAAAGAUCCAGGCAAUGCUGCAGUUGUAGCUGCAGUCAUCCCACUGGUUCCUG